UUUUAUGCAUCUCUUAUUGAUUUAUGUUGACAUUCUUUUAUCAGAUUUUGGUUUCAAUUGGCUAUUGAUUUCUCUCUCUCUCUCUAUUAUUUUUAUUAUUUAUAAUUAGAGGUUCAUCAAUCAAUCCUAGCCAUUCAGUCAAUGGGCUUCUUUCCAUUGCAUAUACACUAGGUAUAUUCUUUCCUUCUGACUGUGCAUUCGCUAGAAAAAUAGGAUGGCUAGGAUUGUUUGGUGGGAACACUUUGUCUUGUAUUGCCUAUUAACAGAGGGGAAUCACCCGAUGAGCUGUCUGGGUCACUUAUAGGUGGGCUCCGCCCAUACUAAAUGUUGGCCUGAAUGAAAAUUCCAAUAGUUUCAAACCAUGUGAAUCAUAGCUUCUUUUAAAGGAGUUGAUAUUUGUGCAGCACUAUUUUUUGUUCCUUCUCAUUUUCUCUGUUUUGGUAUUGAGAAGGUCUGGUAAGAUCUCCGGUAUCUACUACACUACCGCAUAUCAGUUCGAGGUUGUUUGUAACAUGGGGAAUUUUGUGGAGUUUCCCCGAGACUCGAACACACUUGCUUGCUAGCUCUUUGGUUAUCAGUUGGUCUAUCAUAGAGGUGCGGGUUCUUACAUGAUUAUGAUAUGAAUUCAUUGCAGCUCUUGAACAAUUUUCAAUUAGCAGGUUGCUCUUGUUGGCUAAUUUGGUGCUGCAUUGUUAAUUUCUUGUGUUUAUGAUGCUACUAUAGUAAUUUAGCAUGGGAAUUGAUAAUUACAACCAGAAUGAUUUUGAGUAUCCAUUUUCAAUUUGGGAAUUGAAAUUCAUGUUGGGCCCUUGUCGAAGAUGGUGAGUUUCAAUGUCUUGAAAGCCAUUCCAGCAGGAUCCUCUGGCAGAGGCGGGAAAAAGGCCUUCUUUGCAAUCUAAGGCUAGUUCGUAGUUAUUUCCUGAUGCAGCUAGGCUUAUUAUUAUUUUUUAAAGUUUCUUAUAUAUAAACAGUUUUGUUAAUUUAAACAUAUUCGGGAUUACCUGUGGGCCAUGCAUGUGUGGCUCUGAUUGAAUUGAGAUUUUGAAUGGGGUUACAUUGAUUCAGUUAUAUGGAUUCAAGCACAAUUCUAGUAUGGCCCGCAUUUGUUUUGAUUUCCUUAGGGUGAUCAGGCUCGCCUGAUCAGGUAGCUAACCAGAUGGAUAGUCUGAUCGUCCUAGACAUGCUACUUCCAUGAUUAUGUUAGGAAAUGAGGAUUAUUGUUUUUAAAACUUUUGAAAUUACAUAAUUUUAGAUUUUGUUUAUCA